rnacentral:rRNA from 1 species
CAGUACCGUGAGGGAAAGGCGAAAAGAACCCCGGCGAGGGGAGUGAAAAAGAACCUGAAACCGUGUACGUACAAGCAGUGGGAGCCCCACCACUAAGCCAGUGGUGAACUCCACAUCCGCAUCCUUUGCUGAGGAUACGGUUAACGGAGCGAAAGCGACGUUCAACCGCAAAACAAGCAGAGGGGGCUUAGUGGUGGGGUGACUGCGUACCUUUUGUAUAAUGGGUCAGCGACUUAUAUUCUGUAGCAAGGUUAACCGAAUAGGGGAGCCGGAGGGAAACCGAGUCUUAAUUGGGCGUUAAGUUGCAGGGUAUAGACCCGAAACCCGGUGAUCUAGCCAUGGGCAGGUUGAAGGUUGGGUAACACUAACUGGAGGACCGAACCGACUAAUGUUGAAAAAUUAGCGGAUGACCUGUGGCUGGGGGUGAAAGGCCAAUCAAACCGGGAGAUAGCUGGUUCUCCCCGAAAGCUAUUUAGGUAGCGCCUCGUGAAUUCAUCUCCGGGGGUAGAGCACUGUUUCGGCUAGGGGGCCAUCCCGGCUUACCAACCCGAUGCAAACUGCGAAUACCGGAGAAUGUUAUCACGGGAGACACACGGCGGGUGCUAACGUCCGUCGUGAAGAGGGAAACAACCCAGACCGCCAGCUAAGGUCCCAAAGUCAUGGUUAAGUGGGAAACGAUGUGGGAAGGCCCAGACAGCCAGGAUGUUGGCUUAGAAGCAGCCAUCAUUUAAAGAAAGCGUAAUAGCUCACUGGUCGAGUCGGCCUGCGCGGAAGAUGUAACGGGGCUAAACCAUGCACCGAAGCUGCGGCAGCGAACGUAUCACCCAAGACAACUUUACGGAGUUGACGAUUGACGGAGCGAAGCGACGUCAAAGCGUUCAUUAAAGUCGAGUUGGCUUAGGGAUACGUUCGUUGGGUAGGGGAGCGUUCUGUAAGCCUGUGAAGGUGUGUCGUGAGGCAUGCUGGAGGUAUCAGAAGUGCGAAUGCUGACAUAAGUAACGAUAAAGCGGGUGAAAAGCCCGCUCGCCGGAAGACCAAGGGUUCCUGUCCAACGUUAAUCGGGGCAGGGUGAGUCGACCCCUAAGGCGAGGCCGAAAGGCGUAGUCGAUGGGAAACGGGUUAAUAUUCCCGUACUUGGUGUUACUGCGAAGGGGGGACGGAGAAGGCUAUGUUGGCCGGGCGACGGUUGUCCCGGUUUAAGCGUGUAGGUGUGUGUUCCAGGUAAAUCCGGUU